GAGGGUAUAGCUCAAGUGGUAGAGCACAUGCUUAGCAUACACAAGGCCCUGGGUUCAAUCCCCAGUAUCUCCA
rnacentral:tRNA from 1 species